rnacentral:lncRNA from 1 species
AACCUGCAAUGUCGUGCAUUUUCUUAUUAAUAAUUGCGGUAUACAUUAUCUCUUGGCCAAUGCAGGUGUAGCUAUGCAGAGUACGUAACUAUGUCUGCAUCGGCCAAGGGUUAUGUAUUAUAUAUAGAGAUAGAAUGAAUUUAUUUUGUAGAUAUAGCUAUGAAGAAUUCAUACCAAUGGCUCAUGAGUUGAUGAUAGCAUGAGUCAUUUACAAUUACAUGAGCCUUUGCCAACAUCCAAAUUGUACUUUCAACACCUUCAUGUGCAGGCAAGAAUACUUUGCUUUCAGCACCAUAUUGGACCCCAUUUGAGUGUGGCAAGCUUAAUUCGAUGGCUAAUGGCUUCAAAGUCCCAUCAUCUUGCAAAAACAAGAUUGUCCUUGUAGCAUAAGCUUUUGCAUUUAAAUUUAUCCUCUCCAAAUAUGGCAUGAAUGCAUCAUGGUAAUCUAAGAGGAAUAAUCUCUUUCCAUCAAGUGCCUGUUCCACAAAAUUAAUUUCAAUCACAUUAUUUCAUAAAUUUUGAUUGAUUUACAAGCCAAUGAGUUUGAUUGAAACAUGUUCAUAUCAUUACCUCUUCUACUGUGAUAUCACCAAGAUUAGUCUCUAAGUGUUCUUUUGUUAUUGUGCUAUUUUGAUCACCAUAGACAGUGGCAUCUAGUGUGCUUUUUGGUGGGAACUCCUGUUAUAUCAGAAAAUAAUUUAUACAAAGAAAUAUGUGAAUAUUUGAAUAUUGAUAACAAAAUACAUAUUUUAGCAGAUAUUAAUACAAUUGGUACUUACUUGAAGAAGACGAAUCACAUUAGGAUUUACACCAGCAAGCAUCUCUCUUCCAAAUUCUUCAUCAGUAUUCCAUGCAGACUUGCUAACUACACAACAACAAAGAAAAUAAUGUGAAAUUUGAUUAAUCUAAAAUACAUCAGUUUACAAAUAAUGUGACAACAAUGAUCAUUUUACGACUGUCUCCUGAGAAAAAAAUACGAGUUUUAUGUUGUUUGAUAUGCUAAUACUAUAAUAUGUGAGUGUGACGAACAUGUUAACUAUAGGUAGGUGGUUUGAUUAAGAUGAAUAAAGUACCUCUAAUUACUUGAGGUGGUGGAAACUUAAGGGCUUGUUCACCGUCUGUGCGGAGGAUUUCCUUAAGGGCUGGCAAGGGGCUGAUUUGGCUGAGUAUAUCUGUAGGAAGCUUAAUUCCACCUUCGAAAAGUCCACGCACUUCAUCGAAGCUAUCAAACUCAUUCGGGGUGAAAUUCAGAUCAAAAAUUACAGAUUGUAACAAAGGCAAAACGUCUUGUGACAAUGACUUUAUUCCAUACAUAAGAAAGUCUGAUGACUUCAAGUGACCAAAAUUUUCAUCUCUUGGAACAUAAAUGGCACCAGGUUUCUCACUCUUAAGAUCUGUUAAGAAUCAUAUAACAUAAAACCAAUUAGAACGUUCAUAUAAAAUAGACAUGUUAAAUUUACUAACCGUUACUUUGGUAGUGAACCAACCUUUUCUAGUUGGUUUUCUACCAGUUCUAACCCUACGAGGGUAGGGAUGGGUGCUAGAUCCUCCAAGGAUUGGACGAACAAGGGCGUCGCCACCAUCAGGAUUUCCGAGAUCAUUAUAAACAUCAUAAUCGUAUAUCCUAUCCCAUUCUUUGCGUUCUCCGGUUCCAUCUCCUCUUAGAUUCUGCAACUCUUCUUCUCUAAAGUGAUUUAAUGGAGCUGGUGUUUGACUUGGAAGAUACGCCUGUAAUAAAUUCAAUUUACCUUUAUUUUCUUAUCAAAAAAAUGUUAAUAAUUAAUUGUUAGAUUAAUUUUUUUAUAGGUUUAUGGUCAUAUAAAAUUCAAAGCUUACAUCAUUGGUGAAGAAGAUGCGAUUGUUUUUGUAGCUUUUGAAGUUGUAAACCCAUGAAUUACAAUCAAAUUGAACACUUCCACGAUUAGGAAUAUCUUCAAGGGUCACCCUAACAAGGAAGAACUCAGCUUGUGUAUAAUUUCUUAUGUAAAAUGCUCCUGGGAUUCCAAAGUUAGCAUCAUAUUCAAAGAAAAUACUGAAUGCAUCUUGUCUUGCUCCCAAAGUUGGUAAUUGAGGAAGAUGUUUGCUCAAAAAUGUUUCCUUUCCAACUAGUCCCUUUCCACUUGCUACAAAAUUAAAAUAACAGAUAUGAAAUUAUUUCAAAAAAUAAAUAUUUUUAUUGGUAGAAACCAAUAUCCCAAUAAAUAAAUAUAAGCAUGAUCUCGUGAUCUAAAAUAAUCACUAAAAAGGGACAGUUAAGUAAAUAAUAUAGUCUAUUAAUGUCAAAUUCAAGAACAUCUGGACCAUAAAGAAAAUGAACACAUCAUGAUCUGCCACUUGUUUAUGUUCAAUUAGUGGAAAAACAAUGACAAGGCACCAAUUAUAUAAUCUAACGCGUCAGCACUUAUUUACCCAAAAUAUUAUUUUAUUGUUUUAUUUUUAUCUCAAUAUAUAUUUUAAUACUCUGUACAUUGGAAUUUGGUUGGAUAUAUAUGUCAUUUAAUCAUUCAUUAAUGUAACAUUCUUUUUAUAUUUAAUCAUUUCAUAAUAAAUAAUAAAUUUUAAUUUUGAUUUACUUUUGCAUACAAGCACUAUAACAUCUAACUAUACGUGUAUUUGGAUUGAGGGUUUGGGAGAAAAAGGGAGGGGAAGACUCACUUUUAUUUUUUUAAAUUACGAAUAAUGUAAAAUAUUUUUUUUAAAAUAUAUUAAGUGUUUUUGAAGUAUUAUAUGAUUACUUAUCAUGUUAUUAAUUCAAUUUUCUAAAAAUCAUUUUAUAAUGAUUGUAAUUUAAAAAGGAAAAGCAAGUCCUCCCCUUCCUUCCCCUUCUAAACAAACUCUCAAUCCAAACCCACCAUAAAUAGCUCAUGUAGUAUUUUCCUCUAAAAAAAAAAAAAAAAAAAACUAUUCUCAUUUCUUUUCUUUCUAAAAAGUCUAGCAGCUAAAUAUCCACAAACACCCUUAAUGCUGAAAAAUAAGAAACUGCAAGUUUAGAUCUGCAAAUCAACAUUAUCAUAUGUUUAUGGACUUUUUACAAUCUCAAAUAUACUUAUAAGAUAAACUAAUUGGUUCCUCAAUAUUUUUUUAACUAUUGCUUUCUGUUUCAAAAAGAAUGUGUAGAAUAAGAUAAUAAAAAGAGUUAAAAUUGUCAUAGGAAGAUAAAUUAUUUCAUUGGCAUGGAACGUAGAGAAUAAUUUUUAUAUGAUUUUUUCUUUUUUGAUAGUCGUAUUCACAGUUGAUUAUUAUUAACAACAUGAAGGCCAUGGUCAUGGUGGGGUCAGUUAGCUAGCAUAUUGAAUAAAUGUGUGGGGAUUCCAAAAACACAUAAAGUUAAAUAUGUCUCUCUAUAGAUUCAGAUAGAUUACGAAAGAUAAUGAAUCAGUUUGAAUAAUUGAAGUAUAUUUUGGAACAACUUGAAUAAUUGAAGAUAGAGAACAAACCAUCAGUCUUUGUAGCACUAAUCAACUGCAUAGAGACAUUACGGCCUAAGAAGGCAGUGGCAGUGUCAACAACUCCACCAACAAUGCUGGUGACUCCUCCGAUCAAAUUUCCGGCAGCGUCGAGGACACCGCCUUUACCGAUGGACGUUAUGGCGUUGAAGUCCAAAACAUUUUUGGGCAUCAACACCACAGUCCCCUUGAUUUUUUGGCCCUUGUCAAAGAUGCCAAACAUGUUUGCUAACUCUUUAUGUAUCAACAAAUUAACACUUAAUAUUUGAUGUAGUAGAGUAGAGAAAGAAGCUUGAUGAGGUUUAUGAGGAAGUCAUGUAUUUAUAGAUGGAAUAUAAUGUAUACACCAGCUGCAAUAAAUUUUUUAAUCAGAAGCUGUGCUAUUCGUGCCAAACGUGGAAUAUAAAAUAUGAAUUAAUCAUAACAAUGAUAUUUUUUAUUAUUAUAACAAUACGGUAGGUAUGAAAGUAUUCACAAGAUCACUGAUUUAGAUGGAGAAAAUCUGUUGGUCACACAAACAAAGUAGCUCUCUUAUUCUAAUUGAGUUUUUUUUUUUUUUUUUUGGUAUAUGUAAAAGAAAGAGGUUAAAUCUUUAAUGUGUAUUAAUCCAUUUAGACUUGGACCAAUCAAUUAUAGGUGAGAUUGAUGGAACCAAUCAAUUUUGGGUCAAGUAGGACAAUGACAUGAAAUCUCAUAGCAGCUCACUCCCCGAAUGUGGAUGAAACCGAUUUCUUCUCCACACUGGGAGGAGACACCGAUCCAGGCACCUCUGGUCCAUCCAAAAACCCUUUUUUUUAACCGAAUUCUUCCCUCAUGAGUGGAAGGAACCGAUUUCUUCUCCAUAUUGGACACUAAGACUACACUAGGAGGAGACACCAAUCCAGGCACCUCUAGUCCAUCCAAAAACCCUUGAUUACCGGUUGGCACCUCCAGAAGCACAACAUCUCCAACUCUCGUAGUCGGUACCCUGCUCGCGCUGAUUGCGAGGUAGAAAACCUACUUCACACGUGAGUAUCACUUCUUUCUUCAAAAUGCCUCAAUUUUACAUUGAUUUCCAUUAAAAUAUCAAUUUCAAAUUUCCUUCGACAAUUAAUAUAAUGUGUAGGUUGAAAGAAACUUGCAAAGGAAGUUUUAAGUUAGUAAAAAGACAUGGCAAACAUGAAGCAUAGAAGUUAGUUCAUUUCUUUUGCUAUUAAUUGGGGGUUUGUUCUCCUCCAUGCGGAGUAGUUCAUUUCCAUUUAGUAAACUUGCCUAAUAGAUUAUACAUUUGUUCACAUAAAAUAAACAUUUAACUAGUUGUUGAUCAAAUAAUGUAUCUUUGUUAAUAAUAAUAUCAUUUCUUUUUAAUUUUUGUUGUUGCUUUUCUUCAUUUUUAUACUAAAUCAUUUUGUUCUUAUAUUCAUCUUCAUGUGUUUGUUUCUUGCUCUGCAAGUCUAAACUUGAAACAUAAACCUAUUAACUAAGAACCCCGUAAGAAUUUAAUGUCCUAGAUCAAUCAUCAAGUUUAUGUGUGUUGAAGAGAUAUUUAUCCCUAUCAACAAACACAUUAUUAUAUUCGAAUGAAAACACCCAAAUACAAUAGUAGUACACACAUAGAAACAACAAUUAUAAAUAGACAAUCAUCAUAUUCACAUCGAUGUACAUCGAUGUUAUUGGAAAGCGAAAAUGCACAAUAGAUAAGAAAUAAUCCACACAGACUUUUUUUUUCUUUCUAAAUAGAGAUACUGUUGGGAAUUCCUCUAAAAGUUAAACCUUCUUCACUUGAACGAAGGAGCAAAGUGUAGGGCAAUUCAACUGGUCCAGUGCGGUUUUUCAAACUAGAAUCUUUGUUCCUCCCGUGGAUUUUCCCUUCAAUUUCAGAUAGUUUGCUUCCAAACUUUUGGAAGGCUUGAACUGCCCUUGUAUCAGAUGUCCAAAACUUGUCAUUCCUCUCUCCGAGAUACACCUCAUCAGAAGCAUGUCUUGACAAUAUCUCAAUCACAGAAAGAUCAAUGAGGGUCUGAAACUUUGGUGUAAUAGUUCUCAAAUACGCCUUUUGAGGACUUUUCACCAUCUCAUCAUACUCCGGAGUUCCUUGCUCCGGAAUAAAUCUUCUACUAAGAGUUGGACGGUUCAGGAUAUAUCCUCCAUAAGGAUACUGUCCAAAGUUAACUGCUGCAUGAAGAGCUGAAGCAGUCCAUAUGAUAAUGGAGCAAGAUUGAACCAAGUCUCCAACAGUUUGCAUCUUAGGCCACCAUGGCUUGUCUUUCAAGUCACCAUGACCCUUUUCUACAGCUUCCUUCCACCAAGUUUGUAGUUCAGUGUCCUUUUGCACUACUUCAUCUGUUGGAUAAUAUAAGGAGACAUAGUCUUGAACCCAUGCCUUAAUAGCAUCCCAUAUUUCUAGUCCAUCAACAGCAUAAGGGUAGUCUUCUAACGCAAGACGAAGUCCAUGGGGGGAAGACGGGUCCUCAACAGCUAGUCCUCUGAAUCAAGCAGACAAUUUGUUAUCAAUAAUAAUUAUGAAAUUGCUCCUAAUUUUUAUAUAGAUGGUCCAAAUCGUGGUCAAAAAAUACCUCUUGAUAAGAUCAGCCGGUAAUGCUUGGUCGGUGAAAACCCAAUCCCUGUAAACUAUUGAAGAAAUCUCGACUGAAUUUGGUCCUGGCAAAAAUGUUUGCUCUAUAAUGCCACCAGCAUUGAUUAGAGAUUGUCGAGCAAGUCCAUUGAUAUUUAUUGUGUCACGGAAAUGAGGAAAUAAAAGUUUAUUAAUUGGGUGAAGAACACUUAGAUGCCUAUUUGUUGCUAUGAUGAAUGGUUCAACAACUGCAUGAGUAUUCAACCUGCAAUGUCAUACAUUUUUUUUAUUAAUAAUCAUGUCAUACAAUGCAUAUAUUAGUGUUAUUUUUUAGAUAUAUGACUAAAUAGAGUUCAUACCAAUGGCUGAUGAGUUGAUGAUAGCAUGAAUCAUUUACAAUGACAUGAGCCUUUGCCAAUAGCCAAAUUGUACUUUCAACGCCUUCGUCAGCAGGCAAGAAUACUUUGCUUUCAGAACCAUAUUGGACCCCAUUUGAGUGUGGCAAAC